rnacentral:tRNA from 1 species
AGGCCAAUAGCUCAAUUGGCAGAGCAUCUGCCUCCAAAGCAGAAUGUUGGGGGUUCAAGUCCCUCUUGGCCUGCCA